rnacentral:rRNA from 1 species
UACGUAGGGUGCAAGCGUUGUCCGGAAUUAUUGGGCGUAAAGAGCUCGUAGGCGGCUUGUCACGUCGGCUGUGAAAACCUGGGGCUCAACCCCGGGCCUGCAGACGAUACGGGCUAGCUAGAAUUCGGUAGGGGAGACUGGAAUUCCUGGUGUAGCGGUGAAAUGCGCAGAUAUCAGGAGGAACACCGAUGGCGAAGGCAGGUCUCUGGGCCGAUACUGACGCUGAGGAGCGAAAGCGUGGGGAGCGAACAGG